CACGCUGUAAACGAUGUCCGCUGGGCGCUUGACCAUGAGUUGGGUGCCGAAGCUAACGCAUUAAGCGGACCGCCUGGGGAGUACGCCCGCAAGGGUGAAACUCAAAGGAAUUGACGGGGGCCCGCACAAGCGGUGGAGCAUGUGGUUUAAUUCGAAGCAACGCGAGAAACCUUACCAGGUCUUGACAUGAGAUUGCCGCUGCGAGAGAUCGCAGUUUCUAGGGCAACCUAGACGAUCUACACAGGUGU
rnacentral:rRNA from 1 species